UACGGAGGGAGCUAGCGUUGUUCGGAAUUACUGGGCGUAAAGGGCUCGUAGGCGGCCAACUAAGUCAGACGUGAAAUCCCUCGGCUUAACCGGGGAACUGCGUCUGAUACUGGAUGGCUUGAAUUCGGGAGAGGGAUGCAGAAUUCCAGGUGUAGCGGUGAAAUGCGUAGAUAUCUGGAGGAAUACCGGUGGCGAAGGCGGCAUCCUGGACCGAGAUUGACACUGAUGAGCGAAAGCUAGGGGAGCAAACGGG
rnacentral:rRNA from 1 species